UCCGAGGCUAGAGUCACGCUCAGGUAUUGCUUGUUGCCUUAGUGUGCUAGAGCCCUCGAAGAGUAACUGCUGACCUUAUUCACUGGCUGUGGGCUUUCUGGCACAGUCAGUCACCAGGUUAGUGACAUAAGAUACAU
ensembl:snoRNA Snora3 small nucleolar RNA SNORA3/SNORA45 family